UACGAAGGGGGCUAGCGUUGUUCGGAAUUACUGGGCGUAAAGCGCGCGCAGGCGGUCUUCCAAGUCAGUGGUGAAAGCCCGGAGCUCAACUCCGGAACUGCCAUUGAAACUGUAAGACUUGAGGAUGAGAGAGGUGAGUGGAAUUCCCAGUGUAGAGGUGAAAUUCGUAGAUAUUGGGAAGAACACCGGUGGCGAAGGCGGCUCACUGGCUCAUUACUGACGCUCAGGCGCGAUAGCGUGGGGAUCAAACAGG
rnacentral:rRNA from 1 species